CAUCACCACUUCCUGAUGAAAGCACGUUGACUUCAGAGCACCAGUUUAUAUCUCAUUGUUAUUCAGACAUUGGAUGUUCAUCACUCUUGCUCAUGAAUUCUGUCAGUCCUGCAUGAUGGGGGCAAAGACAGUUUCUUUCUUUUUCAAGUGAUAUAAAGAAAGCGCAGUAAACAUCUCCAGACCAGACAUGACAAUACAUUUUCGUUUGGAAACAUCCAAACACUUUCAGAUGAAAACAACAGCGAACCAGAUGGAAGACAUCAAAGGCAACUAUGCAGAAGCAGUUUAAGGAAAAGUUACUUUUAAAAGUAAGGUUACAGUAUCGCGUUACUUUGUAAAAAUAUAACUAAUUCUGCAUUAUUUUCUCUCACUUAACUGAUGCUCACUCACAUUAAGGCCUUUAAGUGUCUUUUUUGCACUAAUAUUUAUUACUGUUAUGCAUUUAAUAACUAUUAUUAUAUUCUGACCUCUUAGAAUAUUUCUUGAUAUCAUCUACUGUACAACUGUGCAUCUUCUGUAUUCUAAAAUUAGAUUAUUGACCAAUUCAAUUCAAUUUUAUUUUUAUAGGGCUUUAACAAUUUGCAUUGCAUCAAUGCAGCUGUACAAAAAACUAAGAAAUUAAUUUCUUCUAGUAUAUAUACACAAGUUUUUAAUUUUUGAGUUGCAAUCGUAAAGUAUUUAUAUGUAUAAAGUCCUAAAAAUUUAUAAAUAAUUUCGAAUAAUUAAAACUAUUGGGAAGGUUUUACUAAUAUUCGACCAUAUUUUUCAUAUAAAUGUAUUUUGAAUUUCAUCAAUGUAUUCACUCAAGUCACAGUGUCAGUGUUUGUAACAUUUUUGUCAAAUUUGUAACAAAAUCACCUGUACAGCAACAAAUAUUGUUUAAUGGUUACAUUAUAAAUUCAAAAUAUCAGAGGUUAUCGUGUGUUAUGCGUUGUCAUCAGAAGGUGAAAGUGAUAUUAGGGCACUGGGAGUUAGCUGCUAAAAUGUUAAAGGGGUCAUAUGGCACGAAUACGUGUUUUUCUGUGUCUUUGGUGUGUUAUAAGUUGCCCAUUCAUGUAUUAGACACGUAAAAUUGCAAAAAUUAAAGUAUCGGAACAAAAGAUGCAUUCUAUCUAAAAGCGAAUGCUCACCCAGACCUUCCUGAAACGCCUCGUGUAACCACACCCCCACAAAUCUACAUCAGUUCAUGGUAUGAUUUGACUAAGACCACCCAAA